rnacentral:rRNA from 1 species
GACGUAGGGGGCCAGCGUUGCUCGGAAUUACUGGGUGUAAAGGGUUCGUAGGCGGUGUGGCAAGUCGGGAGUGAAAUCUCUGGGCUCAACCCAGAGUCUGCUUCCGAAACUGCUGUGCUUGAGUGUGGGAGAGGCGCGUGGAAUUGCAGGUGUAGCGGUGAAAUGCGUAGAUAUCAGGAGGAACACCGGUGGCGAAGGCGGGUCUCUGGGCAGUAACUGACGCUGAGGAGCGAAAGCGUGGGGAGCGAACAGG